rnacentral:rRNA from 1 species
AUUGAACGCUGGCGGCAGGCCUAACACAUGCAAGUCGAACGAGUGGCGGACGGGUGAGUAAUGUCUGGGAAACUGCCCGAGGGAGGGGGAUAACUACUGGAAACGGUAGCUAAUACCGCAUACCAUCGGAUGUGCCCAGAUGGGAGUAGCUAGUAGGUGGGGUCACGGGUCACCUAGGCGACGAUCCCUAGCUGGUCUGAGAGGAUGCCCAGCCACACUGGAAAUGAGACACGGUCCAGACUCCGACGUGAGGCAGCAGUGGGGAAUAAUGCACAAUGGGCGCAAUCCUGAUGCAGCCAUGCCGCGUGUAUGAAGAAGGCCUUCGGGUUGUAAAGUACUUGCAGCGAGGAGGCGUUACUCGCAGAAGAAGCACUGGCUAACUCCGUGCCAGCAGCCGCGGUAAUUC